GGGGGUGCAAGCGUUGUCCGGAAUCAUUGGGCGUAAAGCGUUCGUAGGCGGCAAGGUAAGUCUGAUGUUAAAGCCCGGGGCUCAACUCCGGUUCGGCAUUGGAUACUAUCUAGCUAGAAUGUGGUAGAGGUAAAGGGAAUUCCUGGUGUAGCGGUGAAAUGCGUAGAUAUCAGGAGGAACAUCGGUGGCGAAAGCGCUUUACUGGACCAUUAUUGACGCUGAGGAACGAAAGCCAGGGGAGCAAA
rnacentral:rRNA from 1 species